rnacentral:rRNA from 1 species
UCGGGAAUUUUGGGCAAUGGGCGAAAGCCUGACCCAGCAACGCCGCGUGAAGGAUGAAGUAUUUCGGUAUGUAAACUUCGAAAGAAUAGGAAGAAUAAAUGACGGUACUAUUUAUAAGGUCCGGCUAACUACGUGCCAGCAGCCGCGGUAAUACGUAGGGACCAAGCGUUGUUCGGAUUUACUGGGCGUAAAGGGCGCGUAGGCGGCAAUUCAAGUCAUCUGUGAAAUCUCCGAGCUUAACUCGGAACGGUCAAGUGAUACUGCUGUGCUAGAGUACAGAAGGGGCAAUCGGAAUUCUUGGUGUAGCGGUGAAAUGCGUAGAUAUCAAGAGGAACACCUGAGGUGAAGACGGGUUGCUGGGCUGAUACUGACGCUGAGGCGCGAAAGCCAGGGGAGCAAA